rnacentral:rRNA from 1 species
UACGGAGGGUGCAAACGUUGCUCGGAAUCAUUGGGCGUAAAGCGCACGUAGGCGGACCGCUAAGUCGGAUGUGAAAGCCCUCGGCUUAACCGAGGAAGUGCAUUCGAAACUGACGGUCUUGAGUAUGGAAGAGGGUCGCGGAAUUCCCGGUGUAGAGGUGAAAUGCGCAGAUAUCAGGAGGAACACCAAUUGCGAAGGCAGCUCGCUGGGACGUGACUGACGCUGAGACGCGAAAGCGUGGGGAGCAAACAGG